GAGCCCGUAGCUCAGAGGAUAGAGCAAUUCCCUUCUAAGGAAGAGGUCGCAGGUUCGAUUCCUGCCGGGCUCGCCA
rnacentral:tRNA from 1 species